AUGAGCAUGUGGGGUGUGGUAACCUAGAUUGAUUUUGGGUUGUUAAGAGAAACUUAUAAUAUGCAAAGUCCAUUGGGUCGGGAUUUGUGCAGCGGGCUGCACAUGUAACAGGCCGUAAGACUUGGGCCGCAUCCUUUAUAAUGGUAUAGGACUUUUAGCUGAUUCAUACACGGGGUGGGCAUAGUCACAAAUCCCAGUCAGGCCUGGGAAUGAUGGGCCGCGCAACAGCAAUUAAAGGGCCAUACAAUGUUGGUUAGAUUACUGAUAAUGGGGCUGCAUGUCACACCCCGAAUUAUCAGAGCAUGGCGUGACGGGACUGGUAUCUUCAUUGCACAGCGGAAGCAAAAGGCUAAGACUUCUAAACAAUAAACGCCCGCUAAGUACUCGAAAUCCCGUGGGUUCUCCUAUUCCAACCGUUCCGUAGUUUUAAAAAUGCAACCUGAGAAAGAACAUGCGAAAAAGUCAACAUAAAGUUGAGCGAGUUCAUAGUUUGUUUUGAAAAGAUUUAAAAUAAAUCUUUUUGAUAACCGGUUUUAAAGUUGUUGAGAAAAUAUAGUAAAAUUAUUUUCAUGGCAUGAUAUAAGAAAAGCUGUGAGUCUAGCCCACAAGAGUCUUUGUGCAUUGCAAGAGAGAGAGAAUGGGCCGAGCCCAAACGAACCUUUGUAAGCAGGAUCAGCGCUUCCUCUUACUUAGGUAUAACUUGAAAAACGUUACCAAAGUUUGUAAUUCAUGUAUUUGAGAGUUUCCAUCAAAUGAAUCUUAUGAGUAUAUGAAAGUUUUAGUGUUGUAAAUGGGUAUGUAAAGCGUCUAUGAACAGGUUGAUCGUUAAUGUUUCGCGGGGACAUUAACGUAUGCGGCGACAUAGGAAGUACUCAACCUGUGUAGACGGUUUUUAGUGUUGAAUCACCUCGACUGUGUCGAAUCACCUCGACUGCGUGAAUCACCUCGACUGUGUCGAAUCACCUCGACUGUGUGAAUCACCUCGACUGUGUCGAAUAACCUCGACUGUGACACAACAACACUCUAAGUGGUCACCCAUGGACCGUGAGUGGGGCUCGCCCGUACCCAUUAGAUCUAACCUUUGUUCCUUGGUCCUCAAAAGAAUUAAUGGCACCUCAGUUACAGCCUAUGCUCACAUGAUCUAAGAGUUCAUUCCAUAACUUAAUCAUACCUAAGUUUGACAUGUAUUUCCCCCCCAAAGUUGUAAACCGAAACGUUGAAAGAAAAGGGGGACAUGAUCUCACUUAGUUGUCUCGUUUUUCAUACGCAGGCCAACCCAGUUCCGUUGUAGUAACUAGGACAUUCCUGUCACUAGUCAUGAAAAUCAUGCACGUUUUGUAAAACCGGUAUGUUUAGUAUAAAUCGUUCGUAAACCAUUCAAGUUCGUUGAAAAUCAUUUGCAACAUGGUUUAUAAAUAUGUGUUUUCGUUCAUCAAAAUAGUGUUUUCUUUUGCAAAAACUUGCAUGUCUUUCCACCCCCGAAAACAAUUAUAAAAAAAAUGUAAAACUGUAAAAAGUGGGGGUUAUGAACUCACCUGAUCGGCAAAGCAUAAUACUCCAUAUAUCAAACAAAGAUAAACAAAUCCCACAGCUUGAAAUAACCUCGUCGUGACCUACUACAAGUAAACACCACCUUAAAGUCUAAUGGAAAUAUCCUAACAUAUAGGUUGGUCAUGUAUAAUAUUCACCCAACUAGCUAGACUUGAUUGAAAUACCUGUGGUGUUUCGAACAUUAGACUCUACGACUCAUUGGUGAUAUGUCUUUACUAUCUUGAAAAUGUAUAUUUAUAUAAAACAUAUAUAUAAAUAUAGAUGAUAUAACUCACUCGUCGUUGUAUUCUCGUAUAGAAACAGUGUUCGAGUUUAUAGGAUAUAUAAAUACCUUAACCCGAGUGGUAACUUGUCUCCAUGUAUAAUAAAUAUAUUGAAAAUUAUUUAUUUAUUUAUUUUAGGGAAAUAUACACAGUAGUACUACUUGUAUAUACGUAAAAUGAUAAUAUAUGUUAUAUUUCUACACAUAUUCCCAAUAAAUGCCAUAUUUGCAUAAAAAGGAAAUCUUGUUACUCGAACAAAGUCAUAUAUCAAAUAAAUAUUUGUAGAAACCCCAUAAUAGGACCUUUCUCAACUGUAUGAAAAUUAUAUAUACUUUAAAAAUAUGUAUAUGAACACAUAAUAGGUCUUUGAAUUUUAUAACUUUUACUAAAUUAUUUUAGUAGACUACAUCUAUAUAUCAUGUAGUGGUCAUUCAUGUAAUCCCUUAAGUCAUACAAACAAAAUUCUGGGGUUUCACAACAGAUUUACAACAAAUAUAUUAAUAGUAGAUAUAUUAGGUUGUAAAACUUUUUUUUUCAUAACUAGUGGUUUCACUAAAUAAUAACUUUGACAAUACAUAUACAUAUAUUUAUAUAUAUAUUUGUUUGUGUUCAAAAUACUUAUUCUCCAAUAAAUAUUUCAAUUUAUAUACAACCAUUUUUGUGUAAAUAUUCCUAAUUAUGCAGAGAAAAAAAAUAAAUCUAUAUACUCGCACGUUAGUUGGACGCCUUCAAAAAUUUAUUACAUAACUUGUUUUUUUUUUUUUCAAUCACAAUUUCUAAGAAAACCACAACACAAGAGUUAUGUAAAACCACU
rnacentral:lncRNA from 1 species